UACGAAGGGGGCGAGCGUUGUUCGGAUUUACUGGGCGUAAAGGGCGCGCAGGCGGCUCAUUUUGUCAGGCGUGAAAGCCCCGGGCUUAACCUGGGAACUGCGUUUGAUACGGAUGGGCUAGAGUUCGGGAGAGGAGAGUGGAAUUCCCAGUGUAGAGGUGAAAUGCGCAGAUAUCAGGAGGAACACCAAUUGCGAAGGCAGCUCGCUGGGACGUUACUGACGC
rnacentral:rRNA from 1 species